rnacentral:rRNA from 1 species
UACAUGGGGUGCAAACGUUGCUCGGAAUUAUUGGGCGUAAAGCGCACGUAGGCGGUUCGUUAAGUCGGAUGUGAAAGCCCUCGGCUCAACUGAGGAAGUGCACCCGAAACUGGCGAGCUUGAGUACGAAAGAGGAUCGCGGAAUUCCCGGUGUAGAGGUGAAAUUCGUAGAUAUCAGGAGGAACACCGAUGGCGAAGGCAGGUCUCUGGGCUGUAACUGACGCUGAGGAGCGAAAGCAUGGGGAGCGAACAGG